ensembl:lncRNA
GAAACACUGAACAAUCGCGUACCUGCACACCUCUUCCCAACUCUGCAGUCAGUCUCAUUGUUUUUUUUUAUUUUUUUUUGAGACAGAGCCUCGCUCUGUUACCCAGGCUGGAGUGCAAUGGUGUGAUCUCAGCUCACUGCAUCCUCCGCCUGCUGGGUUCAAGUGAUUCUCCUGCCUCAGCCUCCCAAGUAUCUGGGAUUACAGGUGCCACCAUGCCUGGCUAAUUUUUGUAUUUUUAGUAGAGACAGAAUUUCACCAUGUUGGCCAGGCUGCAUCAUCUUUUAAAUAAUUUUUUUGGUUAGUGAUACCAUCUUGGUAGCUUGAAAUUUGGUCAGAGGGCAGUAUUUACACCAUGGAAAUCAGCAAACGCUGCAAAUCAGGCCCAUCCCCUUUCUGGAGCUGAUUGUUAAACACUUAGGAGCACACCAUUGCCACACACAAGCCAGGAUGCAGGAGCCAGAAUGAAGGGGAUCUGGGAUGGGGACUCAAGGAGGCCAGAGCCCACCCUCAAUGGAGGGAUUCAAGGCUGUGCUUCCCUGGUAGGAUUUACUUCCACCCCAGAAUGCCAGGGUUGAUUUUAGAACUUUAGAAGAGUCUCCUGAGUUAAUCAUGACCCAUUGUUUCCUCGGCAGUCGGAAGGCUCCACCCGCCAUUGUCCACCACCCAUCCCAGCUCCUCAGAGGCUCCUGCAAGACCGGAGUGGGAGGAACCUUGAGGUCAGAGCCUUGGACAGCUGCCCUGUGUGCUGGUGGCUUCUAUUGUGAGCACCCGAGGAUCUUGGAGCUUCCUCAUGGCUGGGCCUCAGAACCCACUGGGGACCAGCCUGUUUAUGCUUAAAAACUUGAGGCUCUCUGGAACUGAUGACUAUGAAGGUACCAGUUGCUGCUGUAACAGGAGGUCCUGGGACUUGUUGCCAGUCGGUGGGUGUUGCACAGGGAGCCACCCAGACUCUUCUGCCUGGGUAAACAUGCUCCAGAUACCUCCUUUGGGUCAGGGCAGUGACCAGUGUGGACAGAACCCAACCCUUGGCCCACACAGGCUAUCCUCUGAGCUCCCUCCUGAGGCCACAGUCCCCGGCAGUGGUUUGAGGCAGGGCUACUCUGCCCGGACGACCUUAGCCACACGCAGCUCCCCGAUCCCUGGCUCUGAAGGGUCUCACCUUCCCUGUUUCCCAUCAGCCCUUCAGCAUCCAUGAAAUAUUAGGAAAAUGGGCUGAGUAUUAGGUAAUGACUGUCCAAUUUAUUCUGACAGCAAGAACCAGAGGGAGGAAAUUGACAUUGGUGAUUUUACUUAGGACCUGACAACUUUAAUUAAUCUUCACUCCUUUUCUAGGGAGCGGGGGGCCUCUGACAGCUGUGCAGAGCUCAGGUGGAGGCCUCGCAUGUGCUGGCCGCUCCUCAGCUGUGUGGACCAGGCAGGCAAGCGUGAUCACGUCCAGGGUCCUCUGGCACCUCUCUGGAGGGUGCACCAUCAUUUCCCCUGUUCUGGGAAGAAGCAGUCGAGGUUCCAUGAGAGUAAGUGAGUUUGCCAAGGCCACUGUUAAAUGGCAGAACUGGAAUUCAAGGCCAGUUUUAUCUGUGUCCUCAGCUGACCAUUCCACCACGUGGCCCCAGGGAAGUGCCCUGGCUUGCUCUGACAGUCCCACUAGAUACAAUCUAAUCCCAUGCCUUGGUUCGUUCAUCCCUGCUCUGACAAACAGAAUCCUGGGGAUCCCAUGGCAGGUGACACAAAGUCAGCCACACUCUCAAGCCCCCUGCUGCCUGGACAAGCAGGUAGCCCCGUCUCUAACUCCAGGAGGCUGGCCAGAAGCCCCUGCGUACCUAUAUAAUUAGGAACGUCCUCCAGGGUGUGUGACUCCUCCUCCAGCUAUGUGGGGUGCAUACAGGGAGGGUGAGGGGCAGAACCCUCCUGCCAGGUCCACGCUAAUUUCAGAUGCUCUCCAAAGCCUCUUAUAAUUCACAGGCUUGGGACAGAUCCAGGGGAUGACAAACUAAUUGGAUGCAUGCUGCACAUGUCCCCUCCCUGUUGGGCCCCUUCACUGGUCUUAUGAGCCUCAGUGUCCCCCCAUGAAAUGUGGACAUUUGCAUCCACCACAUAAGGAUGUCUUAUGGCUCUAAUGACAAGGAGGAUGCUUCAUCCUGUGCACUCCAUAUAUGCAUAAUCAGCUCUACUAACAAAACGCAGACUUCCUUCCUUCCUUCCUUCCUUCCUUCCUCCCUCCCUCCCUCCCUCC